GUCCCAUUCCUCCAGCGAUGGUCCGUACUUGAUUAGCGAUGCUGAUUGUUACUCAGACUAUUCUGAUAUCCGUGGUGAUAUUUGUCGCGGCGAUGAAAAUGCACCCUUGGCUUUCAUUGUUUUCAUUUCAGAGCCUGUACUUCAAGAGCGGCUGGAGUAUCUGAAGGCUCAUAUUUUUCAUCUACAGUGUAUCCUUCGCACAUUCUCUGAGAAUAGAUUUGAUGGACCUCUGGCAUUACCAUACGCGCUUUGUCUGGUAAAAAUUCUUCGACAACACGCAGGGCAGCAAUUGUCUGUGAAGAGAUUGGAUGAUACCAUCCAAUUCCUCUCCACACGAUUGAGAGGGCUGCUGUCAACACCUCUGUUAUAUACCGGUCGAGGUCGCGUAAGUCGUGCAUCACUUCUACUUCAACGGCAGGUGUUCCACGAGCGUCAGAACUUGCCAGGAGAUCUCUGGCAACGGAGCACUGUUUUGAGCUUCUCCAUGAAUGACAAUCUAACUGUAACAUUGUUCCUUACAAAUCAUCCCUAUUUCAAAGUACCUGAUGAGAUUUGGAAUGGUGUUAAUUCCUUGGAUUCAGGUAUUGCUGAUGUGGCUGUGAUGUUUGGUGUUGGUUAAUGUGUUUUACCACUGCAGAAGGAUAAUGUUGUUCUCAGAUAGCUGUAGCACCAUUCAAUCUUCUAAUUCUUCACUCAUUCAUCUACAGUGAGCAUACACACUCUUAAUGAUGGUUUUUCACAAUCAUUUUUAGCACCAUGUUCAAGUGUCUCUGCUAGAAUCCAUGCAAAGUUUUGACACAAGCGCCUCAUUGCUG
rnacentral:sRNA from 2 species